rnacentral:lncRNA from 1 species
UGACANNNNNNNNNNNNNNNNNNNNNNNNNAUGUACCUAACAGAAUGAACUAUUUUGCAAAGACUCACUCAGUGUAAGUAUAUCGAUACGGUGAAUUAAUUAACAUGAAAAAACUCUGUAAUUUCUAAAUAAUUUUACUGGACACAAGACACACGGGCACCUGGUAAUUCGUCACCUUAUUAAAGUCAAAUCGGCACCUUUUUUCACGACAUUUCUGCAAUUGAUUUUUUAACUGUCACCUAGCUGAUAUUAAAAACGGUUUUCAUCUUUAAUUUGAAAGUAAUUAUUGGUUCUUUUCUUUACUGCAGUAUAUACAGGAGGGGGAGGACAGGGGUAAGGGAGACCGGAAGAAAGGGGGUAGGAGAAAGGAGAAAGGGGUGGGAGAAAGGAGAAAGGGGUAGAAGAAAGGAGAGGAAGGCUGGGAGAAAGGAGAAAAAGUUGGAGAAAGGAGAAAAAAUAAAAUAUCUCUCCUUUUAAAUUUUUUUCUAAUAUUUUAAGAAAAAAAUAUCUCAAAAGUAGAUGUUUUAUUCUAAUGGGAGAAAGGAGAACGGGGGUAGGAGAAAGGAGAAGAGGGUGGGAGAAGGGUACCCACUGUCCUCCCCCUCAUACAGAUGAGGAUAAAAAGAGGAGAAAACAAUUAAAUUUUAUCAUUGAUUUUUUUUUUUGAUAAUCUGCCUUUCCUGAUUUUCCAGAUUUUUCAGUGGCAGAUCCAUAACUUUUUCUAGGGGGGGGGGGCGCUGACUGACCUAACGGAGGGCCUGCUCCAGUCAUGCUCCAAUGAUUCCCUAUAUAAUCAACCAAUUUUUUCCCACAAAAGGGGGGGGGGCAAAGGUGGCUUAGGUGCCCAUUUGACCAGGUUUCCAAACAUGGCAAAAUGACUAGAAUUCAGACACAGUGUUAAACAAAUUAAGAUAUAUAUACUGGCAGCUUUAUUAACUAAGCUACAUUAGAUUGUAACUUGAGUAAUUUAAAUGAUCAAUGUAGUAUGAUUGCCUAUGAGAUUACUAUCUACUAAUGUUUAUAUGAACUGGAUUUAAGCAUCUAUAUAGGACACCUUAAUACCUUUAACAAUGAACAAAGCUCAUACUGUCAGCUACACAAAAUGUAUAACAGGCCAUCAAGGCUUGACAUGACAAAAUGUAAAAUGAUUUGCCAAAAUAAAUCAAAUAUGGCAAACUGCAUCAAACAACAACUAAAUUUCAUCCGGACUUGGAACAGGCAUAAAUAGAAUGUUGUGACUGUUGUGUAACAGCACAAAAGAGGAACAAAGUGGUGAAAUCGGUUAGAAAUUGUUUUGAUUCAUUGAAUUGGUACAAAGCUAAAAAAUUCUAACAUGAAGACAAACAAUCAAAACUUAAUAGUACUUUCAGUUAUUGAAAGCUCAUUAAAAGCUAAUAAAAACUCAAACAUUAUAUAUAAACCAUGUUUUCCCGUACACAUAUAUAUAUAUGUAUAGAUGUAAUUAUCAGAGAAAUUCGUUUUACAUUUUUGUUUAACAUGUUGAAUUAUCUAUAACUGAUAUAUUUUUUAUUAAAGUUUCCAAGCAAGUCAAUACAUGCAAUAACAAAAAACUUUUGGGACAGAAGACACUUUAAAAAACGUGAUCAAAGAAAAGAAAAGGAAAUGUACUUGUAAUCGACACUGGAGAAAAAAUGGACUCAUCAGGUAAGAAGUUUUAUUCUGCAAUAACUUUUGUUUAAUAGUUAAUCUGUUUUUGAAUAAAAGAAUGUGUAAAGUAUAUUUUAGUGGGACAGCAUCCCAACAAACAAUAAAUCUGAAGAGAUAUCAAGUGGUAAAUAUUUUGCUUACUGAAAGUUAAUACCAAAUGUGCCAUGCUAUAAAUUAUCCUUCAUCUGAAGAAGGUAUGAAUAUAUGCAACAGGAAUUUUACAGAAAAAAUCUGUCCUUUAUUAUGUCCAUAUGCUAGCCACAAAUUUUUCACUGCAUUUGCAUAUCUAGUUAGGUUAGUACUUUUUCAUCUUUUUAAAAUUUUGUCUUGCAAAACAACACAUUGCAGGGAUAAAGUAUAUGCAACAAGUUUUCAUUUUAUCCAGUUUUUUUCAUGUUUGCACAUUCUCUUUCCCAUACAAUGUUUUGGUGAAGUUAAAUAAUAGUAGUUUGUACACAUGUUGCCACUUGGAAAUAUAAAUGAUAUGGAAAAUAGCAUUGUGAGCUCUCUCAAGCCUAUGUGAGUUGUAGGAUUUUAGAAAUUUUCAUCAUUUAUUCAUAAGUAGGAGGCCAAUGACUGCCUAAGAGGGCGCCCGCUCCAGUCAUGCUUCAGUGAUUCCCUAUAUAAUCAACCAAAUUUUUACAUGGCCCCACUCUAAAUCCACCUUUCCUAAGACCAGUUAAAUAAUCAGCUUUGGUCAAUUAUGCAUUGAAAUUCUGUUAAAAAGGAAGGUGUUAGACUUUUUCUAGUUUAAAAAUUAAGUGCUAAGAAACUAUUUUUACAGGAAUUAAUAGUUCCCCUUUAAAAUGGAAAGUAUAAUGAAAAUUGCAUUGUCAAUCUCAAUCCUAUUGUUCAACUUCAUGUUUGUUUUUAUAAUUUUUUUAUCAAAUUCAAAGGUUAGUUUGGCAAGCCAAAGUCAUGGAUGAGUUCAAUAAAUGUUGCAGAUUAGCUUUUUUUGCAGGAGUUAAGCUGCUUUAGAAAACUGCAUUUGUUACUUUUUUCAAGUAUAAUAACUUUUUGAUUUUGCGCAUUUUUUUCAUAAGAAUGUUCAGUAUAUAUUUGCCUUUCGUCAACUUUUAACUUUCAGUUACAUUCAGUUCUUGUGAAAUUCAACAUCUCUUAUAUAAACAUCACAAAUGUCUUUUUACUUAAUCACCUUUUUUAUGUUUACAGAAGAAAUUGUCACACGGAAAUGUAAUGGGCAAAUUAAAAAGGAGAAGUAACUCUGCUAGGAAGCAGUUCCAGUCAUUUGUAGCAACAGGACUGUGACGAAUAGAACUUUAAUAUAAACUGAAUCAAAAUAUAGAAUUUACCAAACUUGUGUCAGAUGAUACUCUCAUGCCAUUGGAGGACAUCAAUGAUGAGAAGUAAAGGAAAAGACAAUAAAUGACAGCAUAUCAAAUAUCACAAUGUAUAUUUAGUCAGUUAACACAUUAAUUCAUCUACAUACUUUACAGCAUUUCAUUUUAACCAUGUGUAAAUUUUGUCUAUUCAAGCUUAACAAA